GAAAGUAGCACUGAAGGUAAUUGCUGAAAAUCUUUCUGAAGAAGAAAUCAUUGGCUUGAAGGAAAUGUUCAAAUCUAUAGACACAGAUGACAGUGGGACAAUUACAUUUGAAGAAUUGAAAGCCGGUCUUACAAAAAUGGGUACAAAGCUUUCAGAGUCGGAAGUCAGGCAGUUGAUGGAAGCGGCUGAUGUUGAUGGAAAUGGAACAAUUGAUUACCUUGAGUUCAUAACAGCUACGAUGCACAUGAAUCGCAUGGAAAGAGAAGAUCACUUGUACAAAGCCUUUGAGUAUUUUGAUAAGGAUAAGAGCGGGUAUAUUACAAUGGAAGAAUUGGAGCAUGCGCUGAAGGAAUACAACAUUACUGAUGACAAAACAAUAAAAGAGAUCAUUGCUGAAGUUGACACAGACAAUGAUGGAAGAAUCAAUUACGAUGAGUUCGCUGCCAUGAUGAGGAAAGGUAAUCCAGAUUUUGUCAACAAUAGGCGCCGCAGAUGAAACACACGAAACUCAUAAAGCACACCAUUUGAUUAGCACUGCUGCUCCUGUGAGUUUUUUCUUUUAACCAUUGGAACCUCUAUAAAGAUCCAAUUGACGUUCCCUGUUUUAGCUAUCUGGGAUUGUGAGAGUUUUGGCUCUUCAUUCACAUAUCAAACAAAAGAAGUUUUGACUUUUUCGUUUAAUUGGCGGUACGAGUUCCUUGUUUGGAUUGAGGUUCUGAUUUGGUGACUGGUUCAAAUCUGAAAAAGUAUUUUAAUGUAUAGUAUACAAUUGAUAUUGCUGAUGGUAUUGCUACUUUGGUUCAUACUUCAUCCUCUUUGAAACAAAUGAAGAAAAGUUCAUUUCCCCUCAUAUGUCAUGUGUGCUUUUGAGCAUUGUGUUCUUGUUCUGGAACAAGCAAUA
rnacentral:misc_RNA from 1 species